UUUCCCGGUUGAUCCCGCCGGAGGCCCACUGCUAUUGGGAUCCGACUAAGCCAUGCGAGUCGAGAGGGUUCGGCCCUCGGCAGACUGCUCAGUAACACGUGGAUAAUCUACCCUUAGGCGGAGGAUAACCUCGGGAAACUGAGAAUAAUACUCCAUAGAUCUAAGAUGCUGGAAUGCACUUAGCUUGAAAGCUCCGGCACCUAAGGAUGAGUCUGCGGACUAUCAGGUAGUAGUCAGGGUAAAGACCUGACUAGCCUACGACGGAUACGGGUUGUGAGAGCAAAAGCCCGGAGACGAUAUCUGAGACACGAUAUCGGGCCCUACGGGGCGCAGCAGGCGCGAAACCUUCACAAUGUGCGAAAGCACGAUGAGGGGAUCCCAAGUGCUGGCUCGUAAGAGUCAGCUGUUUCUCAGUCUAAAAAACAGAGAGAGUAAGAGCUGGGUAAGACGGGUGCCAGCCGCCGCGGUAAUACCUGCAGCUCAAGUGGUGGCCGCUAUUAUUGGGCCUAAAACGUCCGUAGCCGGCUUAGUAAAUGCCUGGGUAAAUUGUGUAGCUUAACUAUACGAAUACCGGGUAGACUGCUAAACUUGGGACCGGGAGAGGCUAGAGGUACUCCUAGGGUAGAGGUGAAAUUCUGUAAUCCUAGGGGGACCACCAGUGGCGAAGGCGUCUAGCCAGAACGGGUCCGACGGUGAGGGACGAAGCCCUGGGGCGCAAACCGGAUUAGAUACCCGGGUAGUCCAGGGUGUAAACGCUGCUCGCUUGAUGUUAGUCGAGCUCCGAGCUCAACUAGUGUCGGAGAGAAGUUGUUAAGCGAGCUGCCUGGGAAUUACGGUCGCAAGACUGAAACUUAAAGGAAUUGGCGGGGGAGCACAGCAACGGGUGGAGCGUGCGGUUUAAUUGGAUUCAACGCCGGG
rnacentral:rRNA from 1 species